GAAAAGUAUUUCUCUCCCCUUAUUAAAAAAAAAGAAAGCAAGAGAUUGAUAUGAUUUUUGGUAAGGUAUAGGGGUAUAAAUGUUUCCUAUGACCCCAUUAUUAUACAUUAUUAGGAAUGAUCAAUUACAAAGGUUGGAAAUAAGCCGAGGGUGUCGAUCCAGUAUGCGAGUUCCUGAUAAGGAGGUUUUUUAGGCCUACUUAUAUGCUGAAGGGUGUGGUUCAGUUCAAUUACCCUAUAAACACUAACAUGUCGAUGCAGCUAUAGGGGGUGUCAAUCCAGUCCACUGUUAUUGCUAGCAAUCAAGACGUGUACAGAAACAACUAAGUCAAGCCAGAUUAUAAUGAUGGUGGGUUUCUAGUAAUAAUCCUAGGUCAGGAUUCAAACAACUAAAAAUAAGAACUUAAAAGCCCUACUCGAUCAUUGGGUCGAGUAGAACCAAUAGGCAGAACUAAAAUGCAAUCAACAGGGGAUACAAAUAGGAGAUACAAAUAACAGGUAAAUAAAAGUGCAAUCAACAGGGGAUACAAAUAAAUCUAAUAGAAGUCCUAAGGAUGGAUUCAUUGAUAAGGGCAACUCUAUGGUUCAUUAGAUGGCUAAUGGGUGAAAGGUAGAUACCCUUGACGAUAGAUUCAAAAACCGGGUCAAUCCACUGUCGUGACAGAGACCCCCAUAACUCUACCACUUCCUAAUCUCAACUGUCGUUGAUGAAACAUAGCAAGUAGGGUUUAUGAAACAAUCUACCAAAGCCAAUAAGCAGACAAGCCAAUGUCUUGGUCGAGUCUACAAAUCUCUAGAAUUCGUAGAUCAAACAUCCAUUUUAACGUCUUUUGGACGCUGGACGUCUAUGAUCGAAUCUCCAUAUUAGCCAGCGAAAACCGCAUAGGAG
rnacentral:sRNA from 1 species